GCGAACUGAUUAGAAGCUUGCUUCUAUGACGUUAGCGGCGGACGGGUGAGUAACACGUGGGCAACCUGCCUGUAAGACUGGGAUAACUUCGGGAAACCGAAGCUAAUACCGGAUAGGAUCUUCUCCUUCAUGGGAGAUGAUUGAAAGAUGGUUUCGGCUAUCACUUACAGAUGGGCCCGCGGUGCAUUAGCUAGUUGGUGAGGUAACGGCUCACCAAGGCAACGAUGCAUAGCCGACCUGAGAGGGUGAUCGGCCACACUGGGACUGAGACACGGCCCAGACUCCUACGGGAGGCAGCAGUAGGGAAUCUUCCGCAAUGGACGAAAGUCUGACGGAGCAACGCCGCGUGAGUGAUGAAGGCUUUCGGGUCGUAAAACUCUGUUGUUAGGGAAGAACAAGUACGAGAGUAACUGCUCGUACCUUGACGGUACCUAACCAGAAAGCCACGGCUAACUACGUGCCAGCAGCCGCGGUAAUACGUAGGUGGCAAGCGUUAUCCGGAAUUAUUGGGCGUAAAGCGCGCGCAGGCGGUUUCUUAAGUCUGAUGUGAAAGCCCACGGCUCAACCGUGGAGGGUCAUUGGAAACUGGGGAACUUGAGUGCAGAAGAGAAAAGCGGAAUUCCACGUGUAGCGGUGAAAUGCGUAGAGAUGUGGAGGAACACCAGUGGCGAAGGCGGCUUUUUGGUCUGUAACUGACGCUGAGGCGCGAAAGCGUGGGGAGCAAACAGGAUUAGAUACC
rnacentral:rRNA from 1 species